ncrna:Nocardia veterana NBRC 100344 L31-Actinobacteria ribosomal protein leader
UCGGUUCCGGUUCACGUCCAUCAAGGCAGCACGGCAGAUUCCGCCGUGGGCUCGGGCGACCCGGGGCC